rnacentral:rRNA from 1 species
UACGAAGGGGGCUAGCGUUGCUCGGAAUCACUGGGCGUAAAGCGCACGUAGGCGGCUUUUUAAGUCAGGGGUGAAAUCCUGGAGCUCAACUCCAGAACUGCCUUUGAUACUGGGAAGCUUGAGUCCGGAAGAGGUGAGUGGAACUGCGAGUGUAGAGGUGAAAUUCGUAGAUAUUCGCAAGAACACCAGUGGCGAAGGCGGCUCACUGGCCCGGUACUGACGCUGAGGUGCGAAAGCGUGGGGAGCAAACAGG